GAAAUGCGAUACGUAAUGUGAAUUGCAGAACUCAGUGAAUCAUCGAAUUUUUGAACGCACCUUGCGCUCUUUAGUUAUUCUGAAGAGCAUGCUUGUUUCAGUGUCGCGAACCUCUCAACCCCGCCAAAGGCUUUAUUGACUUUGGUUGUUUGGGCUUGGAUCAUGGUCUUUGUCGUUACCCUUUCGGGUUUGGACUGGACUGAAAUACAACAAGUUGAAUGAACCGAAUUGCAGCUUGACCUGAUGUUGUAAACUACUCAUCGGGGAUGCAGUCGAGUACAAGGAACUUUAACAAAACCCCCUUUUGUUGACUGACAAUCAGCUUCGGCUAGAUCAAUCAAUACUUUAUGACCUGAAAUCAAGUAGGACUACCCGCUGAACUUAA
rnacentral:misc_RNA from 1 species